rnacentral:rRNA from 1 species
GAUGAACGCUGACAGAAUGCUUAACACAUGCAAGUCUACUUGAACUUCGGUUUGUGUGGCGGACGGGUGAGUAACGCGUAAAGAACUUGCCUCACAGUUAGGGACAACAUUUGGAAACGAAUGCUAAUACCUGAUAUUAUGAUUUUAGGUCAUCCUACAAUUAUGAUAGCUAUAUUCGCUGUGAGAGAGCUUUGCGUCCCAUGCGCUAGUUGUAGAGGUAACGGCUCACCAAGGCGAUGAUGGGUAGCCGGCCUGAGAGGGUGAACGGCCACAAGGGGACUGAGACACGGCCCGUACCCCUACGGGAGGCAGAGGUGGGGAAUAUUGGACAAUGGACCAAAAGUCUGAUCGAGAAAUUCUGUGUGGACGAUGACGUUUUUCGGAAUGUAAAGUGCUUUCAGUUGGGAAGAAAAAAAUGACGGUACCAACAGAAGAAGUGACGGCUAAAUACGUG